CCUACGGGAGGCAGCAGUGGGGAAUAUUGCACAAUGGGGGAAACCCUGAUGCAGCGACGCCGCGUGAGCGAUGAAGUAUUUCGGUAUGUAAAGCUCUAUCAGCCGGGAAGAAGAUGACGGUACCUGACUAAGAAGCCCCGGCUAACUACGUGCCAGCAGCCGCGGUAAUACGUAGGGGGCAAGCGUUAUCCGGAUUUACGGGGUGUAAAGGGAGCGUAGACGGCGAGGCAAGCCCGAUGUGAAAGCCCGGGGCUUAACCCCGGGACUGCGUGUGGAACUGUGUGGCUGGAGUGUCGGAGAGGCAGGCGGAAUUCCUGGUGUAGCGGUGAAAUGCGUAGAUAUUAGGAGGAACACCAGUGGCGAAGGCGGCCUGCUGGACGAUGACUGACGUUGAGGCUCGAAAGCGUGGGGAGCAAACAGGAUUAGAUACCCUUGUAGUC
rnacentral:rRNA from 1 species